rnacentral:rRNA from 1 species
UUUUGGAUCCUGGCUCAGAUUGAACGCUGGCGGCAUGCCUUACACAUGCAAGUCGAACGGCAGCGCGGGGGCAACCCUGGUGGCGAGUGGCGAACGGGUGAGUAAUACAUCGGAACGUGUCCUGUAGUGGGGGAUAGCCCGGCGAAAGCCGGAUUAAUACCGCAUACGCUCUACGGAGGAAAGGGGGGGAUCUUAGGACCUCUCGCUACAGGGGCGGCCGAUGGCAGAUUAGCUAGUUGGUGGGGUAAAGGCCUACCAAGGCGACGAUCUGUAGCUGGUCUGAGAGGACGACCAGCCACACUGGGACUGAGACACGGCCCAGACUCCUACGGGAGGCAGCAGUGGGGAAUUUUGGACAAUGGGGGAAACCCUGAUCCAGCAAUGCCGCGUGUGUGAAGAAGGCUUCGGGUUGUAAAGCACUUUUGUCCGGAAAGAAAACAUAUGCACUAAUACUGUGUGUGGAUGACGGUACCGGAAGAAUAGCACCGGCAUAUCUANCC